rnacentral:lncRNA from 1 species
AUGAAACAAUUUAGGAACGAAGCCAAUAUUAUUCUCCCAUGCCUGCCCUUUCACAUCAAAGGAAUAGAGGCCAAGAUUGCUCCUUCCCAGUUUAUUGUUACCUUUUCUUUUCCUAGGUCAAGAGCUUUCCUUUGGCAUAAGAAGCUCAACCCAAUACCAUCAUCCCAGUCUCACUUUCCUGACCAACAUCUGCACUAUGUGUCCUUUGAGUAUGAGUGACUACACGGCUCUUGUUCAAAGAAGGGGCAAGCACAAUGAAUCACCCCAUCCUUUCACCGAGGUGAUGUGGAAGAGUUGCCCGUUCUGCAGCUAGUGAGUACGCUUGGUGUUCAAGACACAUCUGCCAAAUGGAGAUAAUUUGAAUGCACUAACUGAAGAAUUAGACUACAUCCAACACAUUGUAUAUGUUUGUGUGUGUGUGAUGGUGAUGGUGAUGGGGACUUGUCCAUAAUUCCCAUAGAGCUAAACAAUAGCUCCAAGUGGAAAUAUGAGACUGAUCAGUAAAUUGAGUCGAUUUGUAGCUGAUAGACCCUGGGUUCAGCCUGUCAUUACCAUUUGUAUUUGGCAUUGUACAUCUUCAGCUGAUUGUUAGAAAUUCUAACAUCUACUUAUGUAUAUUUUUUUCUUUUUACAAACAGGUGUUUCCAAUGAUGAAAUUUGGGAUGCACAGUAAAAAUAAAAAGAUUAUACUUUUAUUACAAGAGAAAUUCUACAAAAAUUGAUAUUUAUGUAGUUGUCUCCAUUAAUGUGUUGAUAGCAUUGCCACAGAUAAAUAAAAUCAAUUGACAAUCCAAGCUAUGUAUUAGUCAGUAACAGAGCAUCCUCUUCUACUGAGUUGUUUUAUCAGAGGUGCUCACCAGGAAGGCCAUCACGAUGGUAAUCAUUCUGAACACCUACCAAGUGCCAUGUGUUUUACCACGAGCAUUUCACCAAAAUCUUCCAGUUA